rnacentral:tmRNA from 1 species
GGGGGCGUAACGGAUUCGACGGGAUUGAAUCGUGGUGGCAAGGCGUGCCGGGUUCCGAGCUCCCGUAAAACGAUCGGAAAACCAAAAACUGCCAACACGCAGUUUGCUUACGCUGCCUAGUUUCUAGGUAGCCGCCCCUGUUCCGAGGCCCGCAUCGGAGCAGGUAGGCGUCAUAUGGCGGGAUAGGCGAAAGGGCUUCCGCCUGUAGCCCUUAGCCGAAAGUAAUCAGGCUGGGUGGCGUCAGGCUUGCCGGUUUCCAGGACGCCGCCGAGAAUACGAACCGGCUACGCACGUAGGCUUGUCACGGCGAGCUUUCUCGGACGCGGGUUCAACUCCCGCCGCCUCCACCA